UGACCUGAGCCAAAGGAUGCUUAGCCAACUGAGCCACCCAGGCACCCCAUCCCCCUUCCCCGUUUUAGAAGAUGCUGCUCUGUCCCACGAUCUCCUGACCCUCUGUCUCCAUCAGCUCUUUGUCAGGUUAUUAUCACUCUGAGCAACAUCCAGGUUGAAGGGUGUGGAGAAAUAACAAAGACCUGCGGUUCCAGUGGACAGUUCCAGAUGGGGAAACUGAGGCCUAGAGAAACACAGAGGUUCAACCGAGACAUUUUCUAGGUCCUGACUCAGCUGCUCUGGGGAGGCUGGCUGGGGCCUUCUUUUUUGAAAAUACAUGCAUUGAUUUCUGUUUUUAGGGCAGUCCCAGUGCGCAGGGACUGCUCUGUGACCUGGAAGCUGACGUCUGUCCCUGUGGCCCUGCCGCCACCCCAGGCCUGGGUGUCCCCGGGUGCGCAGGCCCACGGUACCUGGGAGGUGCGCGUGUACUCCUCGUAGAGCUGGUCAUACUCGCGGCUCUUGUCCUGGUACUGCUGGUGAUAGACUUUGAGCUGGGCACCCACCGCCUCCACGCUGUCCUCCUUGACGAUCUGGUCCUAGGGACACCCGGUGUGAUCAGAGCAGCUGCCUGGGACACUUGUGCCGGAGGCUGGCACUGCCCGCCCCCCCUGGCCGCAGACCUGCUGGUACUUGGACACGGGAUAGAGGAGCCGUGUGUCCAGCUUGGCAUUGUACUGGGCCAGCGACUCAUGGCGGUAGUGGGUGAUGAGGUCCACGACGGAGCAGAAGGUGAGCGGCUCUGAGAAGCCAUAGUGCCCGUCACGAUGGAAGACCUUAAUCAGCUUGUUGUUGCCGCCUUUCCUGGGGGGGGGGGGUUUGAGAAGGGUGUCACCGCCAGGGGGGUCCCCAGCCACCCUGACGGUGCACAUGCCCCCCUCUCCAUGAAACCCCCCUCCCUGUCCCUCUGACCUGGGUGUCCCCCUUCCCACCCAGUCAUCCCUGAAGGGGCAGGCCCCCACCUGAGAGUCAGCGUGUACUCCCCCUGGAUCUUGCUAGAUGCAUCUCGGACCAGAAAGGUGCCGUCAGGCGUGUCCCGGAGUUUUUCAUUCACCUCCUCCCUGUGGGGACACCCAGGAUUGGGGCGCCCAGCCAGAGCCCCUUCCUCAGGCCCUGGCCCUCACACGGCCCCAUCCCACAACCCUACCUGGAGAUGUCACCCCAGUACCACUCAGCAUCUUGCAGCGAGGGCGGGCUCCCCCCGUUGGCGAGGCCGGCAGGGGCUGGCUUGGCCUUGGGGGGUUUAGGCGGCAGCGCUGGGGGACAGGGUAAGAAAGACACAUUGAGCACCCACUGUAUACUGUGGCUGGCUCCAUUAUAAGCAGCUUGCUGAUCCUGGCAGGACUCCAAGUGAGCAUUCAUGAUUUCCAAAGAUACCAGUUAAUAUGGGGGAGGGGUGUCACCUGGGGGUGCGACCUCCUGCUCCUCCAGCUGUUCCUGAAGCAACUUCUCCACCAGUAACACCGGGAAGUCAGGGCUGGGCUCAGUCCUAGGGGAAGGGGAGGGCAGGGGGUAGGUAGUGCCUUAUGGGCCCAGGGUCCUCCAUGCGGGGCAGAUGUACGGGUAAGCGUGUGUAGAGAAGAGGAGAUGGCGGGCAGGUGUGGGAGGCCCACUCCUGUUUAUACAUAUGCAGGAAGCACUCAAUAAAUGUUCCUACAACAAACGCACAGGAGUCUGGCACCUGAGGAGUAAGGGGAGGCACACAAGUGAAGGUGACGGCGCCACCCACCAGCCUCUUCGUGGUCUGGGCCCCAUCCCUUCGAGUCUCAAGGCUGCCGGGGUCUUCCGGGAACUACAGAUCCCACCCUUGUUAUCCUUACUCGUCCUGGUGUCACAACAGCUCUGGCCUCUUAACCCCAGGGCCAUGUUCACACUUCUUUAUCGCUCCUCGACCCCACCCAGGGCGGAGGCUCCCCCGCCCGCCCUCCGUUUAAAGCCCUCCCCUUUCAGCUCCGGCUCGGCCCCGCCCCCUUUGGCGCCUCACCCGUCAGGCGCGCCCCCUGGCGGCGGCGAGGGAGGGGGCGCACGCAGCAGCAGGGACCCGAAGGUGGCGCCCAGGGCACGCACGGCGGGGCCCGGAGCGGGGGCACGCCGGGCCACCCGGCUCAGAUGCUGGAGCAGGAAGCGCAGGAUUUAGGGCUCUCAAUCCAAUGACGGGCAUCCUUACAAGAGAAGACUGUGUCAAGACAAAGGCAGAGAUUGCAGUGAUGCUCCCACAAGCCAAGGAACACCUGGAGGUGCUAGAAGCUGGAAGAAAGCAAAGAACCACCCACUCCUCAGACCUCCAAAAGGAGCACAGCCAUGCCGACACCUUGAUUUUGGACUUCUGGCCUCCAGAACCCAGAACAGGGAGAAAAUACCCUGUUGCUUGAAGCCACAGAGUCUGUGGGAGUUCACUACAGCAGCUGCUGCCGCUGCUUGCUGGGCAACCUUGGGCACAGAACCUGCCCUCUCUGUGCCUCAGUUCCCUUGAGCAAGAAACUAGCUCAUGGGGUCCUCUCCCCCUUAGUUCAGAAGAAUAAAAGGACGGUAUCCCCUA